rnacentral:rRNA from 1 species
UACAGAGGUGGCAAGCGUUGUUCGGAAUUACUGGGCGUAAAGGGCGCGUAGGCGGCCUUCUAAGUCAGACGUGAAAUCCCCCGGCUUAACCUGGGAACUGCGUCUGAUACUGGGAGGCUUGAGUAUGGGAGAGGGAUGUAGAAUUCCAGGGUGUAGCGGUGAAAUGCGUAGAUAUCAGGAGGAACACCGGUGGCGAAGGCGGGUCUCUGGGCCGUAACUGACGCUGAGGUGCGAAAGCGUGGGGAGCAAACAGG